GACGAACGCUGGCGGCGUGCUUAACACAUGCAAGUCGAACGAAGUGGCGAACGGGUGAGUAACGCGUAAUCAACCUGCCCUUCAGCGGGGGACAACAGUUGGAAACGACUGCUAAUACCGCAUACUGUAGGAGGGGAUUGCGUCUGAUUAGCUAGUUGGAGGGGUAACGGCCCACCAAGGCGAUGAUCAGUAGCCGGUAUGAGAGGAUGAACGGCCAAAAUGGGACGGAGACACGGGCCAGACUCCUACGGGAGGCAGCAGUGGGGAAACUUCCGGAAUGGACGAAAGUCUGACGGAGCAACGCCGCGGGAGGGAUGACGGCCUUCGGGUUGUAAAGAUCUGUUAAUCGGGACGCGGUACCGGAAUAGAAAGCCACGGCUAACUACGUGCCAGCAGCCGCGGUAAUAC
rnacentral:rRNA from 1 species